UACGGAGGAUCCGAGCGUUAUCCGGAUUUAUUGGGUUUAAAGGGUGCGCAGGCGGGAGAUUAAGUCGGCGGUGAAAUUUUGCAGCUCAACUGUAAAAGUGCCUUCGAAACUGGUUUCCUUGAGUGUAGAUGAAGUAGGCGGAAUUUGUGGUGUAGCGGUGAAAUGCAUUGAUAUCACGAGGAACUCCGAUUGCGCAGGCAGCUUACUAAACUACUACUGACGCUCAGGCACGAAGGCGUGGGGAUCAAACAGGAUUAGAUACCCCUGUA
rnacentral:rRNA from 1 species